rnacentral:rRNA from 1 species
UACGUAGGUGGCAAGCGUUGUCCGGAUUUAUUGGGUUUAAAGGGUGCGUAGGUGGUCCUAUAAGUCAGUGCUGAAAUAUCCCGGCUUAACCGGGAGGGUGGCAUUGAUACUGCAGGACUUGAGUAAAGUUGAGGUAGGCGGAAUUGACGGUGUAGCGGUGAAAUGCUUAGAUAUCGUCAAGAACACCGAUAGCGAAGGCAGCUUACUAAGCUUUAACUGACGCUGAUGCACGAAAGUGUGGGGAUCAAACAGG